rnacentral:rRNA from 1 species
GACGAACGCUGGCGGCGUGCUUAACACAUGCAAGUCGAACGGAAAGGCCCUGCUUUUGUGGGGUGCUCGAGUGGCGAACGGGUGAGUAACACGUGAGUAACCUGCCCUUGACUUUGGGAUAACUUCAGGAGACUGGGGCGAAUACCGGAUAGGAGCUCCUGCUGCAUGGUGGGGGUUGGAAAGUUUCGGCGGUGGGGGAUGGACUCGCGGCUUAUCAGCUUGUUGGUGGGGUAGUGGCUUACCAAGGCUUUGACGGGUAGCCGGCCUGAGAGGGUGACCGGCCACAUUGGGACUGAGAUACGGCCCAGACUCCUACGGGAGGCAGCAGUGGGGAAUUUUGCACAAUGGGCGGAAGCCCGAUGCAGCAACGCCGCGUGCGGGAUGACGGCCUUCGGGUUGUAAACCGCUUUCGCCUGUGACGAAGCGUGAGUGACGGUAAUGGGUAAAGAAGCACCGGCUAACUACGUG